UACGUAGGGGGCAACCGUUGUCCGGAAUCAUUGGGCGUAAAGAGCGCGUAGGCGGCCCGAUAAGUCCGCUGUAAAAGUCCAGGGCUCAACCCUGGAAAGCCGGUGGAUACUGUCGGGCUAGAGUCCGGAAGAGGCGAGUGGAAUUCCUGGUGUAGCGGUGGAAUGCGCAGAUAUCAGGAGGAACACCAAUGGCGAAGGCAGGUCUCUGGGCAUUAACUGACGCUGAGGAGCGAAAGCAUGGGGAGCGAACAGG
rnacentral:rRNA from 1 species